rnacentral:lncRNA from 1 species
GUAGUCAGUCUCCCGUCUUGUAGUCAGUCUCCUGUCUCUCUCCUGUCUUGUAGUCAGUCUCCUGUCUCUCUCCUGUCUUGUAGUCAGUCUCCUGUCUCUCUCCUGUCUUGUAGUCAGUCUCCUGUCUUUCUCCUGUCUUUCUCCUGUCUUGUAGUCAGUCUCCUGUCUCUCUCCUGUCUUGUAGUCAGUCUCCCGUCUCUCUCCUGUCUUGUAGUCAGUCUCCUGUCUCUCUCCUGUCUUGUAGUCAGUCUCCCGUCUCUCCUGUCUUGUAGUCAGUCUCCUGUCUCUCUCCUGUCUUGUAGUCAGUCUCCUGUCUCUCCUGUCUUGUAGUCAGUCUCCUGUCUCUCUCCUGUCUUGUAGUCAGUCUCCCGUCUCUCCUGUCUUGUAGUCAGUCUCCUGUCUUGUAGUCAGUCUCCUGUCUUGUAGUCAGUCUCCUGUCUCUCUCCUGUCUUGUAGUCAGUCUCCCGUCUCUCCUGUCUUGUAGUCAGUCUCCCGUCUCUCCUGUCUUGUAGUCAGUCUCCUGUCUUGUAGUCAGUCUCCUGUCUUGUAGUCAGUCUCCUGUCUCUCCUGUCUUGUAGUCAGUCUCCCGUCUCUCCUGUCUUGUAGUCAGUCUCCUGUCUUGUAGUCAGUCUCCUGUCUUGUAGUCAGUCUCCCGUCUCUCCUGUCUUGUAGUCAGUCUCCUGUCUCUCCUGUCUUGUAGUCAGUCUCCUGUCUCUCCUGUCUUGUAGUCAGUCUCCUGUCUCUCCUGUCUUGUAGUCAGUCUCCCGUCUCUCCUGUCUUGUAGUCAGUCUCCUGUCUCUCC